UAGGGAAUAUUGGACAAUGGAGGCAACUCUGAUCCAGCCAUGCCGCGUGAAUGAUGAAGGCCUUAGGGUUGUAAAGUUCUUUUAGUGGGGAAGAUAAUGACGGUACCCACAGAAAAAGCCCCGGCUAACUCUGUGCCAGCAGCCGCGGUAAUACAGAGGGGGCUAGCGUUGUUCGGAAUUACUGGGCGUAAAGGGCGCGUAGGCGGUUUAUUAAGUUAGAAGUGAAAUCCCAGGGCUUAACCCUGGAAUUGCUUUUAAUACUGAUAAGCUAGAGACCGGUAGGGGAUAGUGGAAUUCUUAGUGUAGGAGUGAAAUCCGUAGAUAUUAAGAGGAACACCAGUGGCGAAGGCGGCUAUCUGGACCGGUUCUGACGCUGAGGCGCGAAAGUGUGGGGAGCAAACAGGAUUAGAUACCCCUGUAGUCC
rnacentral:rRNA from 1 species